rnacentral:rRNA from 1 species
UACGAAGGGUGCAAGCGUUAAUCGGAAUUACUGGGCGUAAAGCGUGCGUAGGCGGUUGGCUAAGUCAGAUGUGAAAGCCCUGGGCUCAACCUGGGAAUGGCAUUUGAAACUGGCUGGCUAGAGUGUGAUAGAGGAUGGCGGAAUUCCCGGUGUAGCGGUGAAAUGCGUAGAGAUCGGGAGGAACAUCCGUGGCGAAGGCGGCCAUCUGGAUCAACACUGACGCUGAGGCACGAAAGCGUGGGGAGCAAACAGG